rnacentral:lncRNA from 1 species
UUUUUGAGAAAUUCAUAUGUAACAUUAUGUUUACCAUCUUAUUGAAUAUAUUGUCAACUGCCUGAAAAGUCAUAGCAGUAAGUUAAAGCAAAAUAAUCUCAAUAAUCUCUUGAUUAAUUAAUAAUGAGUGAGGAUCAUAAUAUGUUAUUUUAGGUGUUUUUGUGUUGCAUCUUCCAGUGACACACAAGAUUGCUUUAUCCUGUGUAAUUGAGACAAGUGCACCUUGAAAGCUCCACCAGCCUGUAGACUUAGUGGUUGUACAGAGAAAGUAGUGGCAGUGUGUUGAGCAGUAUAUAUUGGACCCCAAAAGAACAAGUCUCGUUUGAUAUCAGUAUCAAAAAGAUUUAUUCAAGGUAUAAGAAGAGUGUCAAACUUCACCUAUUGUGAAGUGACACGCAAGAUUGUUUUAUCCUGUGUACAUGAGGAGACAAGUGUACCUUGAAAGCUCCACCAGCCUGUAGACUAUGUGGUUGUACAGAGAAAGCAGUGGCAGUGUAUUGAGCAGUAUAUAUUGGACCGCAAGUGAACAAGUCUUGUUUGAUAUCAGUAUUAAAAAGAUUUAUUCAAGGUAUAAGAAGAGUGUCAAACUUCAGCUAUUGUGAAGGUAUAAGAAGAGUGUCAAACUUCAGCUGUCGUGAAGUUACAUGCAAGAUUGUUUUAUCCUGUGUAGCUGAGGAGACAAGUACACCUUGAAAGCUCCUCCAACCUGUAGACUUAGUGGUUGUACAGAGAAAGCAGUGGCAGUGUGUUGAGGUAUAAGAAGAGUGUCAAACUUCAGCUGUCGUGAAGUUACAUGCAAGAUUGUUUUAUCCUGUGUAGCUGAGGAGACAAGUACACCUUGAAAGCUCCUCCAACCUGUAGACUUAGUGGUUGUACAGAGAAAGCAGUGGCAGUGUGUUGAGGUAUAAGAAGAGUGUCAAACUUCAGCUGUCGUGAAGUUACAUGCAAGAUUGUUUUAUCCUGUGUAGCUGAGGAGACAAGUACACCUUGAAAGCUCCUCCAACCUGUAGACUUAGUGGUUGUACAGAGAAAGCAGUGGCAGUGUGUUGAGGUAUAAGAAGAGUGUCAAACUUCAGCUGUCGUGAAGUUACAUGCAAGAUUGUUUUAUCCUGUGUAGCUGAGGAGACAAGUACACCUUGAAAGCUCCUCCAACCUGUAGACUUAGUGGUUGUACAGAGAAAGCAGUGGCAGUGUGUUGAGGUAUAAGAAGAGUGUCAAACUUCAGCUGUCGUGAAGUUACAUGCAAGAUUGUUUUAUCCUGUGUAGCUGAGGAGACAAGUACACCUUGAAAGCUCCUCCAACCUGUAGACUUAGUGGUCGUACAGAGAAAGCAGUGGCAGUGUGUUGAGGUAUAAGAAGAGUGUCAAACUUCAGCUGUCGUGAAGUUACAUGCAAGAUUGUUUUAUCCUGUGUAGCUGAGGAGACAAGUACACCUUGAAAGCUCCUCCAACCUGUAGACUUAGUGGUUGUACAGAGAAAGCAGUGGCAGUGUGUUGAGGUAUAAGAAGAGUGUCAAACUUCAGCUGUCGUGAAGUUACAUGCAAGAUUGUUUUAUCCUGUGUAGCUGAGGAGACAAGUACACCUUGAAAGCUCCUCCAACCUGUAGACUUGAUGGUUGUACAGAGGAUGCAGUGGCAGUGUGUUGAGGUAUGAGAAGAGUGUCAAACUUCAGCUAUUGUGAAGUGACACAAAAGAUUGUUUUAUCCUGUGUAGUUGAGGAGACAAUUGCACCUUGAAAGCUCCACCAGCCUGUAGACUUAGUGGUUGUACAGAGAAAGCAGUGGCAGUGUGUUGAGCAGUAUAUAUUGGACCCCAAGAGAACAAGUCUCGUUUGAAAUCAGUAUUAAAAAGAUUUUUUUCAAGGUAUAAGAAGAGUGUCAAACUUCAGCUAUUGUGAAGUGACACGCAAGAUUAUUUUAUCCUGUGUACCUGAGGAGACGAGUGUACCUUGAAAGCUCCACCAGCCUGUAGACUUAGUGGUUGUACAGAGAAAGUAGUGGCAGUGUGUUGAGCAGUAUAUAUUGGACCCCAAGAGAACAAGUCUCGUUUGAUAUCAGUAUUAAAAAGAUUUAUUCAAGGUAUAAGAAGAGUGUCAAACUUCAGCUAUUGUGAAGUGACAUGCAAGAUUGUUUUAUCCUGUGUACCUGAGGAGACAAGUGCACCUUGAAAGCUCCACCAGCCUGUAGACUUAGUGGUUGUACAGAGAAAGCAGUGGCAGUGUGUUGAGCAGUAUAUAUUGGACCCCAAGAGAACAAGUCUUGUUUGAUAUCAGUAUUAGAAAGAUUUAUUCAAGGUAUAAGAAGAGUGUCAAACUUCAGCUAUUGUGAAGUGACAUGCAAGAUUGUUUUAUCCUGUGUACCUGAGGAGACAAGUGCACCUUGAAAGCUCCACCAGCCUGUAGACUUAGUGGUUGUACAGAGAAAGCAGUGGCAGUGUGUUGAGCAGUAUAUAUUGGACCCCAAGAGAACAAGUCUUGUUUGAUAUCAGUAUUAAAAAGAUUUAUUCAAGGUAUAAGAAGAGUGUCAAACUUCAGCUAUUGUGAAGUGACAUGCAAGAUUGUUUUAUCCUGUGUACCUGAGGAGACAAGUGCACCUUGAAAGCUCCACCAGCCUGUAGACUUAGUGGUUGUACAGAGAAAGCAGUGGCAGUGUGUUGAGCAGUAUAUAUUGGACCCCAAGAGAACAAGUCUUGUUUGAUAUCAGUAUUAAAAAGAUUUAUUCAAGAAGAGUGUCAAACUUCAGCUAUCGUGUAGUGACACGCAAGAUUGUUUUAUCCUGUGUACCUGAGGAGACAAGUGUACCUUGAAAGCUCCACCAGCCUGUAGGUAUGAGAAGAGUGUCAAACUUCAGCUGUCGUGAAGUGACAAGCAAGAUUGUUUUAUCCUGUGUAGUUGAGGAGACAAGUGCACCUUGAAAGCCUCACCAACCUGUAGGCUUGGUUGUACAGAGGAUGCAAUGGCAGUGUGUUGAGGUGAGUUACCUUGAAGAACUAUUUGUUUCUGGACACAUGGAUCAGUCAGGUUUGAUAGGUGUCUGCUAGGACUAAAGUAUGUAAGGGGUGUUUUUGUUGUCCAAGAUCUUGUCCCUGAGAUCUUUGGAGGGUAAGCCUGUGUUCCCCACUUGCUCUUUGUACAUGUUUCAGUUUCUGAAGAUGGGAUCAAGUUGGUCCCAAAAUCUCUCGAAGUGUAUGAAUGGUAAUGGUGAUUUUAUUGCAGUCUUAACAUAACUAGUCUUCAGUUUUAUCUGAGUAUAAAAAACAUUAUUAAAUGUUUGUAAGAGUACAUUGAUAUAUAUAUAUAUAUAU